rnacentral:rRNA from 1 species
UGAUGUGGUUUAAUUCGAUGCAACGACGAAAACCUUACCACCUUUGACAUGUACGGAAUCCUUUAGAGAUAGAGGGGUGCUCGAAAGAGAGCCGUAACACAGGUGCUGCAUGGCUGUCGUCAGCUCGUGUCGUGAGAUGUUGGGUUAAGUCCCGCAACGAGCGCAACCCUUGUCAUUAGUUGCUACAUUCAGUUGGGCACUCUAAUGAGACUGCCGUGACAAGCCGGGGAAGGUGGGGAUGACGUCAAGUCCUCAUGGCCCUUAUAGGUGGGGCUACACACGUCAUACAAUGGCUGGUACAAAGGGUUGCCAACCCGCGAGGGGGAGCCAAUCCCAUAAAGCCAGUCGUAGUCCGGAUCGUAGUCUGCAACUCGACUACGUGAAGUCGGAAUCGCUAGUAAUCGUGGAUCAGAAUGUCACGGUGAAUACGUUCCCGGGUCUU